rnacentral:rRNA from 2 species
UUCUAUUAGUUAUAAUUAAUAGUAUAAUCUGCUCAAUGAAAAUUAAAUAGCCGCAAAAUCUGUGCUAAGGUAGCAUAAUCAUUUGUCUUUUAAAUGAAGACCAGAACAAAAGAUUAAACAUUUAAAUUAAUAUCCUAUUUUCAACAUUUCAACUUAUCUUAAAUGUAAAAAGACAUUUAUAUAAAAGAAAGACGACAAGACCCUAUUGAACUUUACUUAAGUUAAACUGGGGCAGUCAAUUAAUAAUCACUUUAAUUUUUAAAAAUUCACAAAAAAAUCCAAUAUUAUUGAAUAAUCAAGUUACCAUAGGGAUAACAGCGUAAUAAUUAUUUAAAGCUCUUAUAAAAAUAAUAGCUUGCAACCUCGAUGUUGAAUUAAUAACCUAAUUAAAGCAAAAAUUAAUAAAGGAAGUCUGUUCGACUUUUAAAAAAUUACGUGAUCUGAGUUCA